rnacentral:rRNA from 1 species
GACGAACGCUGGCGGCGUGCUUAACACAUGCAAGUCGAACGGAAAGGCCCUUCGGGGUACUCGAGUGGCGAAAGGGUGAGUAACACGUGGGUGAUCUGCCCUGCACUUUGGGAUAAGCCUGGGAAACUGGGUCUAAUACCGAAUAGGACCACGCGCUUCAUGGUGUGUGGUGGAAAGCUUUUGCGGUGUGGGAUGGGCCCGCGGCCUAUCAGCUUGUUGGUGGGGUAAUGGCCUACCAAGGCGACGACGGGUAGCCGGCCUGAGAGGGUGACCGGCCACACUGGGACUGAGAUACGGCCCAGACUCCUACGGGAGGCAGCAGUGGGGAAUAUUGCACAAUGGGCGCAAGCCUGAUGCAGCGACGCCGCGUGAGGGAUGACGGCCUUCGGGUUGUAAACCUCUUUCAAUAGGGACGAAGCGCAAGUGACGGUACCUAUAGAAGAAGCACCGGCCAACUACGUG